UCGUUGUUGUCGUUGUUGUUAGUGUUGUCGUCGUCGAAGUCGUCGUGAUCCUCAUCCUCGUCGUCUUCGUCAUUUUCGCCGUCUUCGUUGUUCUCGUCAUUGUCGUUGUUGUUGAUGCUGCUAUUGUUGUCGUUGUUGUCGUUGUUGUCGUUGUUGUCGUUGUUGUUGUUGUUGUUGUUAUCGUUGUUGUCGUUGUUCUCAUCACUGUCAUUGUGGUCAUCGCUGUAAUCGUUGCCGUUGUUG
rnacentral:lncRNA from 1 species